GAGUGUCUCGAACAUGAACCUUCACAGCAGCAGGUACAGAACUGCACUGUCCAUAGGCCGUGUGGGGACUAGGACCCAGCCUGAGGACGGCCAAGGCUUCGCUGGUCCUGGGGGACACACUGCUAGAAGGCUGUACUGCAACGGGGUGGACAGCAAAGAAAGACACAAGGCAUCCAGCAGCCGCCCUUUCAGACCCUGUCCACGCUUCCUGGCUCACAUGAAGGCCUCCCCGGGCUCUCUGCGACCUCCCCGGCUUCUCAGCACCACCCCCAAACCUCCGGUUCGCCCCCCUGUGACCGGCCGGAGACCUGCCCUCUCCACACCGAGGACAGGCCCAGUGCUCAAUCCCAAAAGAGGCCUGCACCAAACCCAGAAGACAGCACAGAGUAUCCCCAUACAAGUCCCGGACAAGCAGCCCAGGUCUCCUGCUCCUAGCCCAGCCUCGUCUGAGGAAGACUGUGGUAGCAGCCCUGCACACGUUCAGGAGCCAGCAGGAGCCUGCCAGAGUGGAGGGCCACCUGAGGCGGAUGCCAGGGCUCGGGAAGAAGAACAGGAAGAGAAGACGAAAGAACAGGAGAUCCUCUGGGGCGGUCCUGACCCUGCUGAUGUCCACCCCUCACCUGGCGAUGUGGGCCCCACGAGGGGCGGCACGUCUCCCACCCUGUCGGACGCUGGGGGCUCACUGUCCAGCUUCAGCAGGCCGGCCUCCAGUCUGUUCAGCCGCAGCACCUCGCUUAGCAGCGGGAGAAGCUCUGCACUGUCUGGUACAACGCCACACCCCUCACCCCCGCAGUCCGGCCUCGGCAGUGCUGGCCGGGGAGGCAGCCCCGUCCUCUCGGGGCUCCGCUCCUCCUCCUUCUCCCGGGCCCCUGGCUGGGCUGCCGAUGUCCUGCCUCUGAGCCUGGGCCCCGGGGACCCGAGCAGAGGUAGCCGGAGGAGCAGGCCGAGCAGGCGGGCCGCGGGCCCUCCGGGGCCAGGAGCCUGCGCUGAGGGGACGCGCUCGCAGCCGGGGACGCCGCUCUCCUCCGCGGAGGAAACCUGGCCGGACCUGGAGCUCCGCCAGUGGCCAGUUCUCCCCCCCAUCUCCCCUCAAAGAGACUGCAGUGAGCUGGGAUCUCACCCCUCUCCAGACAGUGAUGUCCAGUCAGCCAUUUUCAAUGAACUGGAUGCCCUUGUCCCAAGAACAGGUUCGACUGUGUCUCUGGACCACUCCGAUAGCUUUACUGGGGGACGCAGCUCACCUGACACAGAGCUGUCAAAGAGGACGUCUUCUCUGACUCUGGGCAAUGGGACCGAAGCAGAAUCGUUGUCUCAGGUGCGCCUCCUGCUGCUGGACCAUCGGAGCUGGCAGGAGCCCCACCUGGACCCCAGUCCACUGCACAGGGGAGACCUCCUCGCAGGCUCCGCGGGGUGCCAUGCUGCUUUUGGAAAUGGAGUCCGUGAACAACACAAGGGCCUCACAUUUCCAGGCUUCCCGAAUUGCCACACACCUGCCUUCCCUGGAGAGCCCAAGCUGGUGAAUACUUUUGCAAGUAAUGGCAGAGAUGACCAGCAGAGUAUUUGCACAAUGGUAAGCCCCAGCACACUUCAUACGGUCUGCAUUUAUUGCUAUAUAAUAGACUUUUAUAGAGUUUAUUUUUGCUCCAGUCCUCUGAGCUUCCUGUUAACCUUAACAUCAACAAAACAGCAUGACUAAUUCUUCAGAUCACUGGAUGAACACCACACCAGAGUGCCAGUGUUCACUGCUCCUGUCCUGAACAGAGAGAUUACAGUAGAAGACUGUAGCAGUUCUGCCUAACGGUGGGGCACUGCAUCCCGAUUGCGUCCACCUGUAUUGCAGGCAAGAGUUUCUGGAUGAUGAUAGAAUACAAAUGAAUAUCUGUAAUGCUUAUUGAACACAUACAGUAUCACGGGUGUCAAACACAAAUGCACCAUAUUGUUUACCCAGCUGCUGUGUAGCUCAACCCGUUCAGUGAAAAUAAGGAGCCCCCCCACCCCCCACCCCCGAUUGUGAUUGUUUCCAUGGAGAUGUUAGGUAUUGAAUAAAUAGUAGAUGGGCAGGAAAGUAUUACUUUCAGUGCCCAGUUGCACUAAUCUAUCUGGAGAUCGAGUGAGUAGGUCGCUGUGCAUCACUGCAGGAGAGAAAAGGUGGAUAUUCUACUCUGUAAAGAAGCCCAGAGCCCAGUCUUCUCAAUCAAAAAGAGCUCGGGACUAAGUGUUACUAUGCUUCAUUUAGCAAACACAAGUCACCUCACAUUCAGGGCACCCUUUCAGGGUCCCCACCACAACAGGUAACAAUGAGAUAGGAAGAAAUCACAUCCUUAAACUCUGUAGCUUUGUAAAAUCGUUGCUCACCUCACUGUACACAAGCUGUACAUGUAUAAACACACCCUAGAUGGUUUUAACCUCGGCUGUAAUAACUAGUAAAAUGUGCAACAUUGAAAAAGCUAUUUAAAAAACCAGGUGGGUUUGAAUUUCUUUGUGUAUCAGUCCUUGUGGUGUUCCACAAGGGUGCAUUUUAGGUCCAUUGUUUUAAAUAGAUUAAAAUUGUACAGCUCUAAACCUUAGAGAGAACUUUCACUGUUGUGCUGACACAUUGCCUACUUGAUUCACUGGGUAAACAUAGUGUUGUUUAACUGGAAAGUUUAUCUUUCGGGAUCUAUGUUCAAAUUAUUAACCAUUAUGUAUAUAGUCUCAAAGGUAACAUAGAAAGUGGGUUGCUCUCUCUCUCUCUCUUAAUCAUAUCCUUCACUGAGAUAAGAAUUAACUGAAGAAUAUGUGUUUGCUCUAUGUGUGAAGCCUGGAUUUUAUUUACAGAAUGUCUCUGAGGUCUGCCAGAUACUGGCACAGUAUCCAGUUGUGUAAUAUCUUCAUGAACUGUGAGGUACUAAGCAACCUUAUAUCCUUCUUAUAUCAUGGCUUUCCAGUAUUAACUAUAUUUUUGCAUUAGUUAUAAACACUUCAUAAAGAUAUGUAUUUUGCGCAAAGUAGGCACAAUCUGUUUAUAAUAUCCUUCCCCCUCUUCAUUAACAACAGUACAGUAUCUUUCCUCUAUAUAACGUACUUUGUAUAUACAUAUGAAUGUUUGC
ensembl:lincRNA